rnacentral:rRNA from 1 species
UGCGUAGGUGGCGCCGUAAGUGGGGUGUGAAAUUUCGGAGCUUAACUCCGAAACUGCAUUCCAUACUGCGGUGCUUGAGGACUGGAGAGGAGACUGGAAUUCAUGGUGUAGCAGUGAAAUGCGUAGAGAUCAUGAGGAAGACCAGUGGCGAAGGCGGGUCUCUGGACAGUUCCUGACACUGAGGCACGAAGGCCCGGGGAGCAAACG